CCCUCAUAGACACAUCUGGAAAUAUCGUUGAGAUAUUCCUAUUAGUUAUUGGACUGACGAAAAUCUAGAACUUCAAGUGAAAAUAUCACUUCAGAUGGAAUCUUAAUGGAAAGCCAGAAAUGAAUGGAAACUGAAUAAUAGCAGAGCUGCUUUGGAUGCUAAGAGCUGUCGUCAGAGUUUCCAAGAAUUAAUGGCAUUGCCCAUAGGAUUCACAACCACUGUCCUGGGGGAUGUGGGCCAAAGAAGACUGGGUUUGGACCUGGCCAUUCGGCUCCAGAGCCCCUUUGGACAAAUGAGGAUUCCAGAGACUUGAGUCCAGCCAACUUUCUCCUUCCACUCAGAAGACUCAUCUAGUAGUGCUCUUUCAACUUUUAAGUGUGAGAAAAAUGAAGGAACUGGAGACUUCUGUUUCUACUCAGUAGCUGUAAUAAGAAAUCUGCAUAUUGGACUUGCAUCUUGAGAGGUUUCAGUGAAAAGCCUUUAACUGAUGGUAAUUUGUGAGUUGGAAAAAAAAAAACUUUGCUCAUCUGACAAGAACAUUUGUCGAAAAAUGUGAUGCUGCUCUUAGACAACACUGUUGCCUGGCUGGACAGCAGAAUUCAAGAGGAAAACCUGUAGAAAUUAUCCUCCACCACCAACCACCGCUCUCCAUCAUCUGGAUCCUAUUUUUGGGGGCAAGGCAGUGAGUAAAUUCAGUUGGGCAUUAGAACUUUCAGGUGAAUUCAGGUCUCUUUUAUUAUCAGUGUAUGGAGUAUUUAAGAUGCCUUUACUGGAUAUAGGGCUUUGCCUUGAAAUAGUUUCAACAGACUUUUUUUGUUAAUGUAUGUAAACUCACCAAAUCAUUACUCAGCAAAAUAAAAUAAUUUAUUUCUUGAAAGAAUGGCCAUCCCUUUAUCUCUCCAGUCCUAGUAACCAACACACAGGUAAGCAGUCCCUUAAUAAUUGUUUGCUGAAUGAGUGAAGGAUUGAAUGCAGAGUGAAAAGAGAAAGACAUGUAACUGCCUUGUGACUUCUUUACAAACACAUCUAAAGAAGCACCAUUUGUUUGAUUCUCAUUACUUCUCCUAAAUGUCGCUUGUAAAGCCUU